GAUGAAGAACGCAGCGAAAUGCGAUAAGUAAUGUGAAUUGCAGAAUUCAGUGAAUCAUCGAAUCUUUGAACGCACAUUGCGCCCGCUAGUAUUCUGGCGGGCAUGCCUGUCCGAGCGUCAUUUCAACCCUCAAGCCCCAGGGCUUGGUGUUGGGGAUCGGCGAGCCUCCGCGCCCGCCGUCCCCUAAAUCUAGUGGCGGUCUCGCUGUAGCUUCCUCUGCGUAGUAGCACACCUCGCACUGGGAAACAGCGCGGCCACGCCGUUAAACCCCCAACUUCUGAACGUUUGACCUCGGAUCAGGUAGGAAUACCCGCUGAACUUAAGCAUAUCAAUAAGCGGAGGA
rnacentral:misc_RNA from 1 species